rnacentral:rRNA from 1 species
CCUACGGGCGGCAGCAGUGGGGAAUAUUGCACAAUGGGGGAAACGCUGAUGCAGCGACGCCGCGUGAGCGAUGAAGUCUUUACGUAUUUAAAGCUCUAUCAGCAGGGAAGAAAAUGACGGUACCUGACUCAGAAGCCCCGUCUAACUACGUGCCAGCAGCCGCGGUAAUAAGUAGGGGGCAAGCGUUAUCCGGAUUUACUGGGGGUAAAGGGAGCGUAGACGGUCUUGCAAGCCAGAUGUGAAAGUCCGGGGUCCAACCCCGGGACUGCAGUUGGAACUGUAAGGCUAGAGUGUCGGAGAGGUAGGCGGAAUGCCUAGUGUAGCGGUGAAAUGCGUAGAUAUUAGGAGGAACACCAGUGGCGAAGGCGGCCUGCUGGACGAUGACUGACGUUGAGGCUCGAAAGCGUGGGGAGCAAACAGGAUUAGAUACCCUUGUAGUC